rnacentral:rRNA from 1 species
GGCCGCGGGAAUUCGAUUCAGGCCUAACACAUGCAAGUCGAACGAUGAAGCCGGAGCUUGCUCCGGUGGAUUAGUGGCGAACGGGUGAGUAACACGUGAGCAAUCUGCCCUUGACUCUGGGAUAACUGCGGGAAACUGUAGCUAAUACCGGAUACGACACCUUGGGGCAUCCCAGGGUGUGGAAAGAAUUUCGGUCAAGGAUGAGCUCGCGGCCUAUCAGCUAGUUGGUGAGGUAAUGGCUCACCAAGGCGACGACGGGUAGCCGGCCUGAGAGGGUGACCGGCCACACUGGAACUGAGACACGGUCCAGACUCCUACGGGAGGCAGCAGUGGGGAAUAUUGCACAAUGAGGGAAAGCCUGAUGCAGCAACGCCGCGUGAGGGAUUAAGACGGUCGGGUUGUAAACCUCUUUAGCAGGGAAGAAGCGAAA